AAAUAUUCCUGCACCGCCCGGCAUUAAAAGCGACGCAGCGUACUGUUUGCUACGGGUUAAUGGCUAUCCUGUAGCAGACUGCAACUGCCGAGAAAAGCGAGCCGCGGCGACCGUACCGCAAACCGACACAGGUAGACGGGUUGAGUAUACUAAGGCGCGCGAGUGAGCCGUGGUUAAGGAACUCGGCAAUUAACCCCGUAACUUCGGGAGAAGGGGUGCUGCCGGCAACGGCAGCCGCAGAGAAAUGGCCCAAGCGACUGUUUAACAAAAACACAGCACUCUGCUAACACGUGAAGUGGAAGUAUAGGGUGUGACACCUGCCCGGUGCCGGAAGGUUAAGAGGAGAUGUCAAGCGCAAGCUGCAGCAUUGAAUCGAAGCCCCGGUAAACGGCGGCCGUAACGAUAACGGUCCUAAGGUAGCGAAAUUCCUUGUCGGGUAAGUUCCGACCUGCACGAAUGGUGUAACGAUUUGGGCACUGUCUCAACCACGGGCUCGGCGAAAUUGUGGUACCGGUGAAGACGCCGGUUACCCGCAUAUGGACGGAAAGACCCUAUGCACCUUUACUGUAGCUUACUAUUGGGUUUGGUUGCAUCAUGCGUAGGAUAGGUGGGAGGCAGCGAUGCGGCGCUUUCGGGUGUCGCGGAGCCAAUGGUGAAAUACCACCCUUGAUGCAACUGGAUUCUAACCCGGCGGAGUGUAUCCGCGGGGACAGUGGUAGGUGGGCAGUUUGACUGGGGCGGUCGCCUCCUAAAGAGUAACGGAGGCUUCCCAAGGUUCCCUCAGCACGGUUGGUAAUCGUGCGUAGAGCGCAAAGGCAGAAGGGAGCUUGACUGCGAGAGAGACAUCUCGAGCAGGUGCGAAAGCAGGGCUUAGUGAUCCGGCGGCACUGUGUGGAAAGGCCGUCGCUCAAAGGAUAAAAGGUACGCUAAGGAUAACAGGCUGAUCUUCCCCAAGAGUUCACAUCGACGGGAAGGUUUGGCACCUCGAUGUCGGCUCAUCGCAUCCUGGGGCUGGAGGAGGUCCCAAGGGUUUGGCUGUUCGCCAAUUAAAGCGGUACGUGAGCUGGGUUCAGAACGUCGUGAGACAGUUCGGUCCCUAUCCUAUGCGGGCGUAAGAUACUUGAGGGGACUCGUUCUUAGUACGAGAGGACCGGAAUGACCGGACCGACGGUGUAUCUGUUGUCACGCCAGUGGCACGGCAGAGUAGCCAUGUCCGGAAAGGAUAAGCGCUGAAAGCAUCUCAAGCGCGAAACCUACCCCAAGAUGUGGUAUCUCCCAACAUUAAGUUGGUAAGGACCCGGGGAGAUGACCCGGUUGAUAGGCUGCAGGUGGA
rnacentral:rRNA from 1 species